GCCCACUGCCGCACGGGGGCGUGGCCAGAAUCUGCCUGGAGGCUCGCCACGCCCCGCUUCACAAACUCUGCAAGCCAGGCACACACAUUACUAACAAGCUCUGGAUCCUGUUAAAAGAGAACAUCAGUCACGAAGCACAAGCACAGAAGCCCCUAAGGAUGCUUCAGAAUUAUGGAGACUUGUACCAAAUGAAGCUGAGGAAAGAAUUCUUAAUGAUGAAGAACUGUUGGAAGCAAGACUGGGAAGGGCUGACCUAUGACUUCUAGUAAAUAACACAACUGUGUCUCCAGAACUGAGUGGAUCCUGAGACCCUAAGCCCAUACCUGCCCAACCUAUAGGAGGAAGUAGCCUUGGGGAUGUCACUGUGUUCCUGCCAAUGGCCCAAGGCUCAUUAAGCUAAUUGCUUUCUGGGGAAAGUGGUUUUGCUUUAUAUGUCUUAACAUCUGGGGAGAGAGGCCACCUGUACAUCGCAGGAAGCACACCAGGACGACUACAGCAUGAACAGGCUUGGCGAAGGCCACUGGUAAAAGGCAAGGUGUCCUGUCACAAGGAUACCAAUGUCACCAAAAUGAAGUAGAGGAGCCAAUCUAUGACUGGAGCCAAUCUGCAACUAGUCACUGCAGUUAUCAAGAAGAUUAAAAUACCUCUGCUCAGCCUUAAAAAUGAUGAGAGGAAAAUAAAUUAUGAGACAUUAGCAAUCUAAGGAGAAAGUUAUAGAAUAUAUUGUUUAGAAGUAAGACCUUAACACUUUAUGGCUCUUUAGUGGAUGUUGUGCUUGUUAUUGUCAGGUAUAGACACCUAGUAAGAAAGAUGAAUAUCCCAUUAUGCAUUCUAGGCUAAUAGUUGAGUGUGAUGCAAAGAAGACCUUAAUAAGGAAGAAAUCUGAAUUUCCCUUAAAUGAUAACAACAAGCAAAUAGUUGGGCAAAUGGAAUGGCUUGUGUUGGUAGAAGUCAACUUAUUUCUCAAAAAAAAAAAGUAAAAUGUUACCUUUUU
rnacentral:lncRNA from 1 species